rnacentral:ncRNA from 1 species
AUAUGAUUCUUGUUUAGAAAUAGUGUUUAAGAAAAAUUUAACAUACAAAUAGUAAUGAACUAGUAUUUCUGUAAAAAUUUUUUUGUUUGUUUGUGUAGUUAAUAAUUUUUGUUAAUAAUUAAUGUUAGUAAAGUUUUCUUAUAAAAAUCAGUUAAAUUUGUGCCAGCAGCUGCGGUUAGACUUGGGAUUUAAGUUAUUUUAAUUGAGGGGUAAGUUUUUGUUAAUAUACUAUAUUAGGUUAAAAUUUAGGUGAAAAAUAAUUUAGUAUUUAAAGUGUUUGGUAAAUUUGUAGAGACUUGGUUAAGACUAGGAUUAGAUACCCUAUUAUACGAGUUAUUAGAGUCUUAAAGGAUUAUAGAUAAAAUUAAGGAAUUUGGCGGCUGUUAUGUUUUAGAGGAACUUGUCUAGUAAUCGAUAAACCUCGUUUUUGUUUUUCUUGAAUUAGUUUUGUAUACCGUCAUCUAGAUAAUUUUAAGAAGAUUUAUCGAGAAAUGUUUUAUGGAAGUUAGAUCAAGGUGCAGAUAUGUUUAAGAUAGGAUUAGUUACAGUAAUUAUUUGUUGAGCAGAAGAGAUAGAAAUAUUUUGUUAGUGUAGGAUUUAAUUGUAGGGUUAUAUAUAUUUGAAUUUUUUUUAACAGUGUACAAAUUGCCCGUCGUUCUCUUUGAGGUAAGUCGAAACAAAGUAGAGGUACCGGAAGGUGUCUCU